GUCAAGUAAUUAAGUGCAUGUGGUGGAUGCCUUGGCAGUCAGAGGCGAUGAAAGACGUGAUAGCCUGCGAAAAGCUCCGGGGAGGCGGCAAAUAUCCUUUGAUCCGGAGAUGUCUGAAUGGGGGAACCCACCUACUUUAAGGUAGGUAUUGCAACAUGAAUACAUAGUGUUGCAAGGCGAACGAGGGGAAGUGAAACAUCUCAGUACCCUUAGGAAAAGAAAUCAAUUGAGAUUCCCUCAGUAGCGGCGAGCGAACGGGGAUCAGCCCAUUAAGUUAUGUGUGUUUUAGUGGAACGCUCUGGGAAGUGCGAACGUAGAGGGUGAUAUUCCCGUACACGAAAGGGCACACAUAAUGAUGACGAGUAGGGCGAGGCACGUGAAACCUUGUCUGAAUAUGGGGGGACCAUCCUCCAAGGCUAAAUACUCCUGACUGACCGAUAGUGAACCAGUACCGUGAGGGAAAGGCGAAAAGAACCCCUGUGAGGGGAGUGAAAUAGAUCCUGAAACCGCAUGCAUACAAGCAGUGGGAGCACCUUCGUGGUGUGACUGCGUACCUUUUGUAUAAUGGGUCAGCGACUUAUAUUCAGUAGCGAGGUUAACCGUAUAGGGGAGCCGUAGAGAAAUCGAGUCUUAAUAGGGCGUUUAGUUGCUGGGUAUAGACCCGAAACCAGGCGAUCUAUCCAUGAGCAGGUUGAAGGUUGGGUAACACUAACUGGAGGACCGAACCCACUGUCGUUGAAAAGCCAGGGGAUGACUUGUGGAUAGGGGUGAAAGGCUAAUCAAGCCUGGUGAUAGCUGGUUCUCCCCGAAAGCUAUUUAGGUAGCGCCUCGGACGAAUACCAUAGGGGGUAGAGCACUGUUUCGGCUAGGGGGUCAUCCCGACUUACCAAACCGAUGCAAACUCCGAAUACCUAUGAGUACUAUCCGGGAGACAGACUGCGGGUGCUAACGUCCGUAGUCAAGAGGAAAACAAUCCAGACCGCCAGCUAAGGCCCCAAAAUCAUAGUUAAGUGGGAAACGAUGUGGGAAGGCAUAGACAGCUAGGAGGUUGGCUUAGAAGCAGCCACCCUUUAAAGAAAGCGUAAUAGCUCACUAGUCGAGUCGGCCUGCGCGGAAGAUGUAACGGGGCUAAAACUAUGUGCCGAAGCUGCGGAUGUAUACUUUGUAUACGUGGUAGGGGAGCGUUCUGUAAGCCGAUGAAGGUGUGUUGAGAAGCAUGCUGGAGGUAUCAGAAGUGCGAAUGCUGACGUGAGUAACGACAAAACGGGUGAAAAACCCGUUCGCCGAAAGACCAAGGGUUCCAGUCCAACGUUAAUCGGGGCUGGGUGAGUCGACCCCUAAGGCGAGGCCGAAAGGCGUAGUCGAUGGGAAAAUGGUUAAUAUUCCAUUACUUCUGUGUAAUGCGAUGAGAGGACGGAGAAGGCUAAAUCAGCCUGGCGUUGGUUGUCCAGGUGAAAGGAUGUAGGCAUGUAUCUUAGGCAAAUCCGGGGUACUCUAUGCUGAGAUCUGAUAGCAAGCUGUACUUGUACAGCGAAGUGGUUGAUGCCAUGCUUCCAGGAAAAGUCUCUAAGCUUCAGUUACACAGGAAUCGUACCCGAAACCGACACAGGUGGUCAGGUCGAGUAGACCAAGGCGCUUGAGAGAACUCUGCUGAAGGAACUAGGCAAAAUGGUACCGUAACUUCGGGAGAAGGUACGCUGUUGUUGGUGAUGGAACUCGCUUCCUGAGCUGACGACAGCCGCAGAAACCAGGCCGCUGCAACUGUUUAUU
rnacentral:rRNA from 1 species